GCGGGCGUAGUUCAUCGGUAGAAUGAAAGCUUCCCAAGCUUUAGAGAGGGGUCCGACUCCCCCCGCCCGCU
rnacentral:tRNA from 1 species